CCUCCCGUGGUCGAGUGGUUACGGGAUCCGCCUAACAAGCGGAAGGUCAGUGAUUCAAUCCUCGGGUGGC
rnacentral:tRNA from 1 species